AAUCGUGUAACGAGUUGACCGCUGUCUCAACGAGGAGCUCAGCGAAGUUGUAGUGGCGGUGAAGAUGCCGCCUACCCGCAGUAGGACGGAAAGACCCUAUGCACCUUUACUACACGCUGUUACUGUUGUUUCGGUUUCGAUGCUUAGCGUAAGUGGGAGGCUUUGAAGCCCCGAUUUUGGUCGGGGCUGAGCCGACAAUGAAACACCACCCUUCGGUACUGGAAUAACUAACCUUUGCCCGUAAAUCCGGGAAAGGGACACUGGCAGCCGGCUAGUUUUACUGGGGCGGUAUCCUCCCAAAGAGUAACGGAGGAGUACGAAGGUUGGCUCAACCUGGUUGGCAAUCAGGUGUCGAGUAUAUGGAUAUAAGCCAGCUUAACUGUGAGACACACACGUCGAGCAGAUACGAAAGUAGGUCCAAGUGAUCCGGUGGUUGAAUGUGGAAUUGCCAUCGCUCAACGGACAAAAGGUACGCUAGGGAUAACAGGCUGAUCCUGCCCAAGAGCUCAUAUCGACGGCAGGGUUUGGCACCUCGAUGUCGGCUCAUCACAUCCUGGGGCUGGAGAAGGUCCCAAGGGUCCGGCUGUUCGCCGGUUAAAGUGGUACGCGAGCUGGGUUCAGAACGUCGCGAGACAGUUCGGUCCUUAUCCACUGUGGGCGCAGGAGAUUUGAGGGGUUCAGACCUUAGUACGAGAGGACCGGGUCUGACGAACCGCUGGUGUUCCAGUUGUUCUGUCAAGAGCAGUGCUGGGUAGCUAUGUUCGGAAAGGAUAAGCGCUGAAAGCAUCUAAGCGCCAAGCCUAUCCCAAGAUGAGAUCUCCCUGAAGGGUCGUGGUAGACUACCACGUUGAUAGGUCUCCGGUGCAAGUGCAGUAAUGUAUUCAGCUGAGAGAUACUAAUAACCCGUUCGGCUUGAUCAUUUACUUUUCU
rnacentral:rRNA from 1 species